rnacentral:rRNA from 1 species
UACAGAGGGUGCAAGCGUUGUUCGGAAUUAUUGGGCGUAAAGCGCGUGUAGGCGGCUUGUUAAGUCGGGUGUGAAAGCCCUCGGCUCAACUGAAAAAGUACGCCCGAAACUGGCGAGCUUGAAUGUCGGAGAGGAUGGCGAAAUACCCCAAGUAGAGGUGAAAUUCGUAGAUAUGGGGGUGGAACACCGGUGGCAAAAACGGCCAUCUGGACAACAACUGACGCUGAGACACGAAAGCGUGGGGAGCAAACAGG